rnacentral:rRNA from 1 species
UACGAAGGGGGCUAGCGUUGCUCGGAAUCACUGGGCGUAAAGGGUGCGUAGGCGGGUCUUUAAGUCAGGGGGGAAAUCCUGGAGCUCAACUCCAGAACUGCCUUUGAUACUGAGGAUCUUGAGUUCGGGAGAGGUGAGUGGAACUGCGAGUGUAGAGGUGAAAUUCGUAGAUAUCGGGAGGAACACCGGUGGCGAAGGCGGCGACCUGGGUCGAUACUGACGCUGAGGUGCGAAAGCGUGGGGAGCAAACAGG